rnacentral:rRNA from 1 species
AGGUAUUUUGAUUGAAGUUUUCGGAUGGAUUUCAAGAUACCGAGUGGCGGACGGGUUAGUAACGCGUGGGUAACCUGCCUCAUACAGGGGAUAACGGUUAGAAAUGACUGCUAAUACCGCAUAAGCGCACAGGACCGCAUGGUCCGGUGUGAAAAACUCCGGUGGUAUAAGAUGGACCCGCGUUGGAUUAGCUUGUUGGCAAGGUAACGGCCUACCAAGGCGACGAUCCAUAGCCGGCCUGAGAGGGUGAACGGCCACCAUUGGGACUGAGACACGGCCCAGACUCC